GGUAGACUGAGUAGCAUGCCCUACAUACCAGCAGACGUCACAAACCUAAAGGCAAAGUACGGUAGAGAGAGCAGGUUGGCUGGCAUAGAAGACACGAUAGCCUACUUCAACGAGAAAGCAAAAGCAGAUCCUGAUUUCUUCUAUAGGAUAAGAUUGGACGAUGGGGACCAUGUCAAGAACAUGUAUUGGGUGGAUGGUGCUUCAAGAAGAGCCUACAAACAUUUCUGAGAUUGCAUUUCGUUCGACGCGACAUAUCUCACUAAUAUGUACAAGAUGCCAUGCGCUCCAUUCAUAGCAAUAAAUAACCACAAUUAG
rnacentral:rRNA from 1 species